UUACCUCACGACCAUGCAUAGCUGCGCUACGUAAACAAUUUUACGAAGUUGUUGAUGUAGCGUGAUCGUGAUGUCCGACUCCGAGUGCUGCGAGUUUCAAUACUGUUUAUGUAGUCAUUGAGAGUUUAAACAAAGUUUCUUCUGAGAAGAGGGAUUCGAUGGAUGCAUUCAACGUGGACAACGAGAAUAUAAUUUCGUUUGUGUCAUCCUAAGGACCAGUGCAAGUUGAAAUGGGCUUCGAGUCAACAACUUCAACAGCAAUUUGCCUUGAAAAUCAGCAAGAAAGGUACUUCAUUUACAUUGACGAUGUCAUAUCCCCUGGACCCCACAACUUUACAGGUUACAGAGAAAAUUCAAGAAUUUCUGCACAAUGUGGGACUUGGAUAGAAUCAAUAAUGUAUUUGUGAGCCCAGAUAUAUUGUGCAACAUACUAAAGUGUGAAUUUAAUUGAAAACAAGUACAUGUAC